UUGUGAUGUACUGAACAUGACUUGUUGAACAAUGCCUCUGUCUCGUCAUUUAACGUUCAAACAGCCACCUCCCACCACCGAGCCAUGCAAAGACCAGAUGACCAUUGGUCCCAUUUCCCAGAGGUCCUCAACAUCCUCACUCAGGUCAUUGCUGGUUGGAAAACUACACCCCUUCCAGAAUCUCGAUAGGACAAGGAAGGUGAUUGAAAAGAAGACGGAUAACAUUACUAAAGAGAUCGAUGUUAAGAUAGGAACGGUCUUUGGAAGCAAUAGCAGGCCAUUCAGCUGAACUACAGAGGGUUGUCAAGCGUGUGGAUGAGGCAGGAGGAAGAAUUGCUACUGUGGAAACUUCAACUAGAUCAAUAAAUAAAGGCACUUGAGAAACAGGUGCGCGAAAUUGCGGAGCACAUUGACGGCUUGGAUAAUCGAGGACGCAGAUGCAAUAUCCGUGUUGUGGGACUCCCGGAAAGGUACUCGUUCAGUAUACAUGUUCGUGGAAUGGAUCCCUGGCUACCUACAAAUUGAUACUAGGGCUGGUCGUGUGAAGCUGGACAGAGCCCAUCGCUGUCAAGAACCGAUACACGGUCACAACCAGCGCCCACGGCCAGUGGUUAGAAAGUUCCACAACUUCACCCACAAGCAGCGCGUCCUGGAUGCGGCCAGACGCAUAUCGGUUCUGACUGUAGUCAAGGUCCAAGGGUCUCAUUCUUCAAUGAUUAUUCCACAGCGGUUGUACUAAGACGCGUGUCGUUUGAUGAGGUGAAGGCUCGACUCAAGAUAAUGAAUAUGGACUACGCACUGAUGUACCCGGCCACAUUGAAGAUUAUGGUCAACGGAUCGCCUAAAAAAACUUUACACACCAGAAGAGGUUGCUGCGUUUAUUGACUCUCUCAGAGAAAGCAUGUACACCAUCUUAAAAAGUAUGGAGAACUGACGGCAAACAUACUGAAGAGAGAACAUGCCCCUAAGACUCCCUCCACCAUCAAGCAGAGCACAUUACUGAAGACGGUGUCUCUCAAAUCCAUCGACAAAGCUGUGAUGAAGUAUGUGGUCCAAGGGCUCCAACCAUUUUCUGUUGUAGAACAAGAACCGAUUAGAGAGUUUGUCCAGGAUCUACAGCUUAACCAGUUCAAUCCAGCUGAACUUGCCUUCCUCACAGUGUAUGCUGCCACCAUGAGCCCAGUCGCAAAGGCCAUCAACAUCCUGCAGGCUGAAACCAAUGUCCAGAUGGGCUGGCUACUUCCAACUAUCAACCUGCUGAUCACAAAACUUGACUGAAUCAAGUUGUCCAUGAAGUACUGUAAGCCUCUGGUGGAUGUGCUACAACUGAGACUGAAGAAGCGCUUCAGCCACAUGUUUCACGACCCUGAGCUGAUAGCCGCUGCAAUCCUUCUCCCCAAAUUCUAAACAACGUAGACAAAGCAUGACGCCACCAUCAGAAUGGGAAUGGACGACAUCAAGGACCACCUGGAAGAACCCUUGCAGCAGCUAGGUGAUGGCACCAGUUCAUCAGAUGAGGACUUCUUCUCUGCAUUGAAAACGUCUCAAGCACAGGAAAGCUCCAAUCAGCUGGACAGAUUCCUGGCCUGUUCAGCUGAUCGUAUGGAGUUGCUCAAGUCCUUCUCGGCAGUCUGUAACCUGUCUCUGAGGUUAAACACACCCGUACCUGCAUCAGCUUCCUGUGGAAGGCUGUUCAGCAUUGCAGGACUUGUUUUCAGCCCCAGGAGAGCAAGGCUGUAUUCCAGAAACUUUGAAAACCAGCUUUCACUGAAGAUUAACCAUAAAUUCUUCAACUUCAAGUAAUGACAGCUUAACGCUUGCAAGGCCAAGGACAAGGAUGCCUUAUGCAUUUUUGUUAACUGUGAAAUUUCAACAUAAAUUAUAGGUGUCCUUGUUACAAAGUUAUGACCAGACACUGAUUUCUAAUACAGUUCCAUCAGUGGUGAUGUCCUCAUAUUCCUACAGUGAUGUUUUGUGUACUUUUGAUGAGCUGUUUUUUCUAAAGCAAUGUAACUGAUUGUAAGUACUGAUUGUAAGUACUGGCUAUAUUCCUUUUCUAUUAAGGCAUAAUUCUGUUUUGUCUGUAAGAGAUGUAUUUUGAAGUGUUGCCUAUAUUUGACAAUCCACUUUUUAUUUUUUUUUAUCUGAGCUCUUACUGCGUCCUUAAGACUUAACUUUCAGAAAAACUCAAACUAAAUAAAAGGUCUGGUUGUUUUGCUUUUUAGAUUUACGGCUCUUACGUUUCAUACUUUUGAUACAUCCACCACUGCUUAAUAUAAGGAAUUGAAUGUAUAACUUUUACUUUGUACUUUCACUCAAGUAUGAUAAUUGUUACUUUUUACACUACUGUACUUAAGUACAUUUAAAACCAGAUACUUUUUUACUUAUACUCAAGUAGUAUUUGACUUGGUACCUUGGUCACUUUUACUUGAGUAAUUUUCUAUUAAGGUAUCUUUACGUUUUACUCAAGACAAUUGAGUACCUUUUCCACCCCUGCCAGCAACAAGGCACACUUGUUGGGUCAGCACAAGAUGCAGUUUAGCAUUGGCUUUAGAGGAAGCAGACCUGUGCUGGGUUAAAAAUUUUAAAAAAAAAUGUUUUAUUCAAAAUGCAGAUCAACAAUUUACAUUCUUACAACAUACAAAACAGAACGCAGGUAUUAACGAGAAAAUACUGAAA